rnacentral:misc_RNA from 1 species
GGAAUUCCCAUGUUACUAAAAAUCCCGCGAAUAUGUGAUCCCUGGGGUGGCUACAGCAUCAUUGGGUUUGGCGACAUAAUUUUACCAGGAUUACUAGUAGCAUUUUCAUUAAGAUAUGACUGGCUGUGCAAGAAGAGCCUUCGAGCCGGUUAUUUUCUAUGGACUAUGACUGCUUAUGGUUUAGGUUUGUUUGCAACAUAUGUGGCUCUGAACUUGAUGGACGGCCAUGGUCAACCUGCUUUGCUAUAUA